rnacentral:rRNA from 1 species
UUUUAUUAAACUCAAUAAUAGUAAAAUCUGCUCAAUGAAAAUUAAAUAGCCGCAAUACGUGCUAAGGUAGUAUAAUAAUUUGUCUUCUAAUUAAAGACAAAACAAAAGAUUUAACAUUUUAAAACAUAUAAAUAACUACAUACUUAAACUAUUCCAGCUCUCAAAAAAAAACUAUAAAAAAAAAAGACGACAAGACCCUAUUGAACUUAACUUUAGUUCAACUGGGGCAGUUGAUUAAACAUAUCUUAAUUUUAAUAUUAAAAAAUAAGACCUAAUAAAAUUAACUAAAAAAUCAAGUUACCAUAGGGAUAACAGCGUAAUAAUUAUUUAAAGUCCUUAUAUAAAAAAUAAAUUGCGACCUCGAUGUUGAAUAAUAAUCUAAUUUACGCAAUAGUAAAAAAAGAAAGUCUGUUCGACUUUUAAAAAAUUACA